rnacentral:rRNA from 1 species
CCUACGGGAGGCUGCAGUGAGGAAUAUUUGUCAAUGGGCGAGAGCCUGAACCAGCCAAGUCGCGUGAAGGAUGACGGCCCUACGGGUUGUAAACUUCUUUUGUCAGGGAGCAAUUGAGUCCACGUGUGGGCUUAGCGAGAGUACCUGAAGAAAAAGCAUCGGCUAACUCCGUGCCAGCAGCCGCGGUAAUACGAAGGAUGCGAGCUUUAUCCGGAUUGAGUUGGUUUAAAGGGUGCGUAGGCGGACUAUCAAGUCAGCGGUAAAAAUUCGGGGCUCCACCCCGUCGUGCCGUUGAAACUGAUGUUCUUGAGUGGGCGAGAAGUAUGCGGAAUGCGUGGUGUAGCGGUGAAAUGCAUAGAUAUCACGAAGAACUCCGAUUGCGAAGGCAGCAUACCGGCGCCCAACUGACGCUGAAGCACGAAAGCGUGGGUAUCGAACAGGAUUAGAUACCCUGGUAGUC